CUAGGUUUUUUUUUCUCAUCGAGAAUGUUCUUUCACAGAGAGGCGCUUCCUUUCCCGAUGAAUUUAAUUUAGUAACUCGAUCUCUUGGCCUCCUCCGUGCACGUUGUUUGUCAUCGAAGCGAUUCUGUUUCCCAUAAGGCCUUCUCCCCUCCUUUAUAUAGAUGUUGUGGGUGAAAUAAACUUUGUGCAGGGGUCCGAUCUUAGGAACGAUGCAGCCACCACCAGGUUUGUGGCCCGGCUCUUAAUCAAACCGGAACCAUUUUAAUGCUGAUUGACCAUCACUGAAGCUCUCCUCCUUGGUUAAAAACCCUUCCAAAGCUAAGCCAGCUCUCUGAUUAACUCUUGCUUGAAGGUGGCCAACCUAGAUACUCACUACAUCAAAAGGCGUCCUUGAAUUCUUUGACAGAGGGAACAAAUACCUAGGUCUCCACCAACCUUGAGAUCGCUACUAGGAGAGGUCAUCCAGGAAGAACCUAUCUUUUUGGGGUGAUGCUCAUGUGUUUUGGGAGGUUUAAAAAAGGUAAAAAAAGUCCUCAACAAUUUAACCAACACUGCAGGCAUCACUGUCGUUGAGCAAAGCUGGGAAAGUAUCCAGAUCGCAUUGAGCGGGUUUGACAUCUCUAUGAAGAAAGUUUACUUGGAAUCAUAUGAAAACAUGCAGUCUGCACUUCAUUGCCACCUCGAUGAGCUCAACACUGUAUGUAGCGAGUGUUUUCACUUCUUGGUGUCUGAGUUCAUUGAGAUGAUCAUGGGUCUCAAUGAACUCAGACACUCAUUUCCCGUUUCCUGUUUCACUCAUUUCCCGUUUCCUGUUGUUACUGAGCGUAGACUCAGAUCCUUUGUUUCAUGUUUGCACAAAAAAAACAAAACAGAUGCCUCUGUUUUUAAAACCUCUGCUUCGCUUUCUGUAUUUAACAGGAAAAACCGUUCCAAGCCU